GAGGAGACGCGGAGGAGACAUUGCUGGAGCGCCGAGAGGCGCACCCAGAAACCCCCUGUGAACAUAUUACCUAUCGUCGUUGCCUCGGCGCUGGCUGGCCCCCCAGGGGGCCCCCCCGCACCCGCGGGGGAGCAGGCCCGCCGGUGGCCCCGUGAACUAUUAUCUCUGAGUGUCUCUCUGAGUUGGACCGAAAUAAAUCAAAACCUUCAACAACGGAUCUCUUGGCUCUGGCAUCGAUGAAGAACGCAGCGAAAUGCGAUAAGUAAUGUGAAUUGCAGAAUUCAGUGAAUCAUCGAAUCUUUGAACGCACAUUGCGCCCUCUGGUAUUCCGGAGGGCAUGCCUGUCCGAGCGUCAUUUCACCCCUCAAGCCCCCGUGUUUGGUGCUGGGGCACUGCCCAGCGAUGGGCAGGCCCCGAAAUUCAGUGGCGAGCCGGCCAGACUUCUUGAGCGUAGUAGUUUACCUCGCCGUAGAGCUCUGGCCCGUCCUGCCGUAAAACCCCCCCACUCUGAAUAAUUGACCUCGGAUCAGGUAGGAAUACCCGCUGAACUUAAGCAUAUCAUAAAACCGGGAGGAAA
rnacentral:rRNA from 1 species